CCUACGGGUGGCAGCAGUGAGGAAUAUUGGUCAAUGGCCGGAAGGCUGAACCAGCCAUGCCGCGUGAAAGUCAGUGCCCUAUGGGCGUUAAACUUCUUUUGUGCGGGAGCAAUAAUGGUCACGUGUGGCCAGACGAGAGUACCGUACGAAUAAGCAUCGGCUAACUCCGUGCCAGCAGCCGCGGUAAUACGGGGGAUGCAAGCGUUAUCCGGAUUUAUUGGGUUUAAAGGGUGCGUAGGCUGGGAGGUAAGUCAGCGGUGAAAUGCCCCCGCUCAACGGGGUGAAGUGCCAUUGAUACUGCCUGGCUGGAAUGCGGAUGCGGUGGGAGGAAUGUGUGGUGUAGCGGUGAAAUGCAUAGAUAUCACACAGAACACCGAUUGCGAAGGCAUCUCACGAAUCCGCGAUUGACGCUGAUGCACGAAAGCGUGGGUAUCAAACAGGAUUAGAUACCCGUGUAGUC
rnacentral:rRNA from 1 species